rnacentral:rRNA from 1 species
AGAGUUUGAUCCUGGCUCAGAUUGAACGCUGGCGGCAUGCCUUACACAUGCAAGUCGAACGGCAGCACGGGGGCAACCCUGGUGGCGAGUGGCGAACGGGUGAGUAAUGCAUCGGAACGUGCCCUGAAGUGGGGGAUAACGUAGCGAAAGUUACGCUAAUACCGCAUAUUCUGUGAGCAGGAAAGCAGGGGAUCGCAAGACCUUGCGCUUUGGGAGCGGCCGAUGUCGGAUUAGCUAGUUGGUGGGGUAAGAGCUCACCAAGGCGACGAUCCGUAGCGGGUCUGAGAGGAUGAUCCGCCACACUGGGACUGAGACACGGCCCAGACUCCUACGGGAGGCAGCAGUGGGGAAUUUUGGACAAUGGGCGCAAGCCUGAUCCAGCCAUGCCGCGUGAGUGAAGAAGGCCUUCGGGUUGUAAAGCUCUUUCGGUGGGGAAGAAAUUGCACUCUCUAAUACAGGGUGUAGAUGACGGUACCCGCAUAAGAAGCACCGGCUAACUACGUGCCAGCAGCCGCGGUAAUA